GUAAGGAAUAUUGGACAAUGGACGCAAGUCUGAUCCAGCCAUGCCGCGUGAAGGAUUAAGGUCCUCUGGAUUGUAAACUUCUUUUAUAAGGGACGAAAAAAGGCUUUUCUAAGUCGUCUGACGGUACCUUAUGAAUAAGCACCGGCUAACUCCGUGCCAGCAGCCGCGGUAAUACGGAGGGUGCAAGCGUUAUCCGGAUUCACUGGGUUUAAAGGGUGCGUAGGCGGACAGGUAAGUCAGUGGUGAAAUCCUAGAGCUUAACUCUAGAACUGCCAUUGAUACUAUCUGUCUUGAAUAUUGUGGAGGUAAGCGGAAUAUGUCAUGUAGCGGUGAAAUGCUUAGAUAUGACAUAGAACACCUAUUGCGAAGGCAGCUUACUACGCAUAUAUUGACGCUGAGGCACGAAAGCGUGGGGAUCAAACAGGAUUAGAAACCCGUGUAGUCC
rnacentral:rRNA from 1 species